rnacentral:rRNA from 1 species
GACGAACGCUGGCGGCGUGCCUAAUACAUGCAAGUAGAACGCACAGUUUAUACCGUAGCUUGCUACACCAUAGACUGUGAGUUGCGAACGGGUGAGUAACGCGUAGGUAACCUGCCUGGUAGCGGGGGAUAACUAUUGGAAACGAUAGCUAAUACCGCAUAAUAUUAAUUAUUGCAUGAUAAUUAAUUGAAAGGUGCAAUUGCACCACUACCAGAUGGACCUGCGUUGUAUUAGCUAGUAGGUGAGGUAACGGCUCACCUAGGCGACGAUACAUAGCCGACCUGGGAGGGUGAUCGGCCACACUGGGACUGACACACGGCCCAGACUCCUACGGGAGGCAGCAGUAGGGAAUCUUCGGCAAUGGACGAAAGUCUGACCGAGCAACGCCGCGUGAGUGAAGAAGGUUUUCGGAUCGUAAAGCUCUGUUGUAAGAGAAGAACGGGUGUGAGAGUGGAAAGUUCACACUGUGACGGUAUCUUACCAGAAAGGGGCGGCUAACUACG